rnacentral:tRNA from 1 species
GCCGAUGUGGCCGAAACAGAAAGGCGCCUGUCUUGUAAACAGGAUCAUGCUGGUGCGAAUCCAGUCGUCGGCU